UACGGGGGGAGCAAGCGUUGUUCGGAUUUACUGGGCGUAAAGGGCGCGUAGGCGGCCAGCACAAUUCAGUUGUGAAAUCUCCGAGCUUAACUCGGAAAGGUCAACUGAUACUGUGCGGCUAGAGUGCGGAAGGGGCAACUGGAAUUCUUGGUGUAGCGGUGAAAUGCGUAGAUAUCAAGAGGAACACCUGCGGCGAAGGCGGGUUGCUGGGCCGACACUGACGCUGAGGCGCGAAAGCUAGGGGAGCGAACGGG
rnacentral:rRNA from 1 species